CACGCAGCACUGUAGCUGUGGAAGCAACUGCCAAGGACACCUGCCAGGUGAUGGGGCAAGAGGAAGAUUACGUUUCAUGGCCUGAGGUGUGAAUCUUGUGAUUGUCGUAUUUCAUCCUCCAUGAGGCUGGGGACACUCGGAACACAGAGAGCCUUCGUGGAGCAGCUUCCAGCUCCCCAGCUCAUUGUCUAGGUGUAACGUCUGGCUGUGAUGCAAAAACUGCUGCUCCGAGAGUGAAAAUAGUUGGCCCAGCAUUAUGAAGCUUGAAAUGACUCCCUGAGAUUUGAUUCCCAGACGCUACUUCCAGGAAAUCCGCUAUCCAGUGUGGAUGGAUUCCCUGCCGGGAAAGGAAACCAGAUGCCUUCACAGCAGGGAAGAGCUUGCUGCCUGACUUGCUGGCCAGGAGGAAUUUCAUUUCUCUGUGCUUCUGGGAUCUUGCACUUUAAUCAACUGGCUUCCUUAGCCACUAAUAAAGA